GGGGUCUUAGGGUUCCAACAGCACCGUUCCCACCCCCGUGUGGGUGCCGUCUUCGCCUCCGCCCUACCGUUUUCGUCGCCGGCCGGCAGGGCCGCGCCGUGGCUUCUCGUGAAGCCAGGCCCCCGCGCCGGCACGUCGCCAAUCCAUGGAUGCAUGUAUCCGAUCGGUCGAUUAUCCAUGCAUGCAUGGAUCGGCGCCGUGCCGCGCCAACGGGGAUCAAAUUAUGCCAAUCGUUAUGACGAAGUCUUCUCGAUCGAUCGAUCGAUUGAUCUCGCCUGCCCGGCCCAACAGGCAAACCCGACCUCAAUCUGCAGUUAUAUAUAAACGGCGACACGUGCUGACGUGCCAUGGCGGCCGUGGCAGGUUUACUGGCGACCUGCAUGUUUUCCAUGUCACCCUUUUGACGCAGGAGACUUUGGCAUCGGACUCGGACCAUAGGAAGGAUCAAUAGACAUUCAUGCUCAUGUUCUUUCUUUCCUUUUUUGAGAAAAAGGCAGCCCUCCUUUCAUUUGAUCAGAGAAAAACAAAGUCAGCUGAAAAAAAAGGGUAAAGGAUCAGAUGGGGAAAAAGCCAACAUUUGAAAUUGUUUGUAUUUGGUAAAUCAAUUGUAAUACUGGCCAAGCUACAUUUGUUUUGCAAAUUUCUUUUACAAUGUUGUGUCGCGUAUUGUCCAUAUUCAUGGUGCUACAAAAGCAUCUGGUUUUUAGUUUCUGUUUUUUAUAUAGAUAAUAUUUGGUGCAUGCAAUGUUGCAUGCUCGGGUGUUAAUAAACACAAUAUUGUUCA